CCAGUCCAACGCCGUCGAUUCAACCAAAAUCUAACGCCUCACUAAUUGUGUCGCAACCCCCACCCGUGAACCUCUCCCUGAUUUUUCUCGUUUCCAAUCACAGCCGCAUCGGCCUUAAUUCUCUCGUUUCCAAUCGCGGCCGCACCGCCCGGAGCCACCCUCGCCCAGAUCCCUUCUCCCCCGCCUCCCUUGCAGCUGCCUUCUGCUCCCCUCGCCGUCAAGCAGCACGGCCACCCCACCAGCCAGCUCCGCCCCUGCUUCUCCAAAGCACAUCGGGUAUUCCACCGAUGUGAUGCCCGGGCGACAACGCUGGCACGCCAUCUCAUCUGUGUUUUGUGCUUCGCCAGGUCAAAUCAGGUGUGCCAUCGGCUGAAUCGGCUGCCGGAGUAGCCCCGGCCGGCUGGAGAACCUGCAGCGGCUAGCUAGCCAGCCUUGUUGUUAGACAAUGGAUUGCUCGUUCUAUUCCUAGUGGAGGCUAUUUUUGGCGUAUGCGACAACCAAGUCGGAGGUGACGGAUGCACCUUCCGGACAUCAUCAGAGCCUACAAUGGGGAAGAGGGUGAUGGCAGCCAAACUGAAGUUGAGGGAGAGACUGUUGCUAGAACAAGUUUAGGCACACUAUGAUUUUAGUUUCUAUGUUUUGGAAACAUGUGUAAUCGAAUGGAAAACUAGCAUUGAAUGUUGGCAGGAAAUAAAUAUAUUUUAUGUUGCAUUCCA